UGUUUUUGUGUCUAAUGCCAACCGAGUACGAUCCUGUUGUCGAUGCAUAAGGACUGCCUCUUUGCACUCACGAUUGAGUGCACUUUCAUCGUGCUUUGCAAAAGCCUUUACAGCACGUCUCCAAGCGUUAAACCCAUUUAUCCAAGUGUGCUAUUUAGUUAUUAUAGCAUUACGAGAUUUAUUUGUUAUAAGUUUUCCUUCCACCGCUUCAGUACACAAACCACAUGUCACGACAUCUCUUCGUUCGUCAUAGGCAAUCCAAGGAAAUUGCAGAGUCCAAUUUACUUUGAACUUUCCACCAUCGUUUUUCGUAGGGGUGUUGGUGCAGACGUAGAAGGUCCGUUAUCUAAACAUACUUGCCUGGAUACUUCUGGUGUUGCCAAAACACAAAUACUUGGGGGAGAGAGACAUGGUUCUGAAAUGUCCGGCAAAGUUGGUGCUUCGUGGCGAUGACGGGUCGUAUUUUUUUCGAAAAAAGAAGAAAUUGCUGGCUGAAGCUUCCUUUUUCUUGUUUUAUCCAUUUUACGUAUGCGCUUAGUUCAGACGACGUAGGCGAAAUUUCGUAAAAUAU